CAUCUACUCCCUCCGUUCGGAAUUACUUGUCUCGGAAAUGGAUGCAUCUAGACGUAUUUUAGUUCUAAAUACAUCCAUUUUUAAGACAAGUAAUUCCGAACGGAGGGAGUAGUAG
rnacentral:pre_miRNA from 1 species